GGAGGGGUGGCAGAGCGGUCGAAUGCGGCGGUCUUGAAAACCGUUGAGGCUUUGCGGCCUCCGGGGGUUCGAAUCCCUCCCCCUCCG
rnacentral:tRNA from 1 species